ensembl:lncRNA
CUCAGUUGACCUCAGGAGGUGGCAUCUAGAAAAUGACAUGAGAAGAAAUACCCAGGAUGCUAGAUGAGUGACUUGACAAGGGAGAUCAACAAGUCAAAUGGCCAAGCAUGUGUAAAUAGCCCAGGGGCGCCCUGUACCAGACAGACUGGAACAACAUCAGCUCCUUAGCCACUGGUGUUCAAACGGCUCGUUUCCUACUAAGCAAGAGGGCACUGCAUUCAACAAGAGUGACGGAAAACCAAAUCAUGCAGAAAGUCAGUCUGCUAGCAACGCUUCAGAAGGGAAGACAUUUAUCAGUGGAUUCUUUACUGCUGAGGCAUCAGGAAAGCAAAUUAGCUAUACUUCAAUUUAAAACAAACAAACAAUAAAACCUUAAAACAAAACAAAUGAGUCAUAGACAUCUAACGGAUAUAUUGUUUAAAGAAGACAAAAACUAAACUGGUUAUAGAUUUGGAAAAGAGCAGAGGAGAGAAAUGGUUAAAGGAACCGAGAUUGGCCCCUCAGGGUGGCUGAGUAACAUACGGAGUGUUAUUAGAUCAAAGUCCCCUAUCACCGAGGAGAAAACAACCAAAAAUUGGCUUUAAGUCAAUCCAGAAAGAUGUCAGCUUAGUUUUUAGGAUGAAUUCUUCGUGCAUAAAUUGAUACGUAUCAUAUUAGAUUACAAAGGGAAGUCUUGUAAUCUUGUUCCCAGGAGAUGCUUGGAUGUGAG